rnacentral:rRNA from 1 species
UACGUAGGGACCAAGCGUUGUCCGGAAUCAUUGGGCGUAAAGCGCGCGUAGGUGGCCAUUAAGUCCGCUGUGAAAGUCAGAGGCUCAACCUUUGAAAGCCGGCUGGAUACUGGAUGGCUGAGACGGAGAGGCGAGUGGAUCCUGGUGUAGCGGUGGAAUGCGUAGAUAUCGAGAGGAACACCUGGCGGCGAAGGCGGGUGCUGGGCGUGACACUGACGCUGAGGCGCGAAAGGCUAGGGGAGCGAACGGG